rnacentral:rRNA from 1 species
UUGAACGCUGGCGGCAGGCCUAACCCCUGCAAGUCGAGCGGAUGAAGGGAGCUUGCUCCUGGAUUCAGCGGCGGACGGGUGAGUAAUGCCUAGGAAUCUGCCUGGUAGUGGGGGAUAACGUCCGGAAACGGGCGCUAAUACCGCAUACGUCCUGAGGGAGAAAGUGGGGGAUCUUCGGACCUCACGCUCUCAGCUGAGCCUAGGUCGGAUUAGCUAGUUGGUGGGGUAAAGGCCUACCAAGGCGACGAUCCGUAACUGGUCUGAGAGGAUGAUCAGUCGCACUGGAACUGAGACACGGUCCAGACUCCUACGGGAGGCAGCAGUGGGGAAUAUUGGACAAUGGGCGGAAGCCUGAUCCAGCCAUGCCGCGUGUGGGAAGAAGGUCUUCGGAUUGUAAAGCACUUUAAGUUGGGAGGAAGGGCAGUAAGUUAAUACCUUGCUGUUUUGACGUUACCAACAGAAUAAGCACCGGCUAACUUCGUG